rnacentral:rRNA from 1 species
UGGUGGGGUGACUGCGUACCUUUUGUAUAAUGGGUCAGCGACUUAUAUUCUGUAGCAAGGUUAACCGAAUAGGGGAGCCGGAGGGAAACCGAGUCUUAACCGGGCGUUAAGUUGCAGGGUAUAGACCCGAAACCCGGUGAUCUAGCCAUGGGCAGGUUGAAGGUUGGGUAACACUAACUGGAGGACCGAACCGACUAAUGUUGAAAAAUUAGCGGAUGACCUGUGGCUGGGGGUGAAAGGCCAAUCAAACCGGGAGAUAGCUGGUUCUCCCCGAAAGCUAUUUAGGUAGCGCCUCGUGAAUUCAUCUCCGGGGGUAGAGCACUGUUUCGGCUAGGGGGCCAUCCCGGCUUACCAACCCGAUGCAAACUGCGAAUACCGGAGAAUGUUAUCACGGGAGACACACGGCGGGUGCUAACGUCCGUCGUGAAGAGGGAAACAACCCAGACCGCCAGCUAAGGUCCCAAAGUCAUGGUUAAGUGGGAAACGAUGUGGGAAGGCCCAGACAGCCAGGAUGUUGGCUUAGAAGCAGCCAUCAUUUAAAGAAAGCGUAAUAGCUCACUGGUCGAGUCGGCCUGCGCGGAAGAUGUAACGGGGCUAAACCAUGCACCGAAGCUGCGGCAGCGACGCUGAUGCGUUGUUGGGUAGGGGAGCGUUCUGUAAGCCUGCGAAGGUGUGUCGUGAGGCAUGCUGGAGGUAUCAGAAGUGCGAAUGCUGACAUAAGUAACGAUAAAGCGGGUGAAAAGCCCGCUCGCCGGAAGACCAAGGGUUCCUGUCCAACGUUAAUCGGGGCAGGGUGAGUCGACCCCUAAGGCGAGGCCGAAAGGCGUAGUCGAUGGGAAACGGGUUAAUAUUCCCGUACUUGGUGUUACUGCGAAGGGGGGACGGAGAAGGCUAUGUUGGCCGGGCGACGGUUGUCCCGGUUUAAGCGUGUAGGUGUGUGUUCCAGGUAAAUCCGGUUCACUUUAACACUGAGGCGUGAUGACGAGGCACUACGGUGCUGAAGCAACAAAUGCCCUGCUUCCAGGAAAAGCCUCUAAGCAUCAGGUAACAUCAAAUCGUACCCCAAACCGACACAGGUGGUCAGGUAGAGAAUACCAAGGCGCUUGAGAGAACUCGGGUGAAGGAACUAGGCAAAAUGGUGCCGUAACUUCGGGAGAAGGCACGCUGACACGUAGGUGAAGUGAUUUACUCAUGGAGCUGAAGUCAGUCGAAGAUACCAGCUGGCUGCAACUGUUUAUUAAAAACACAGCACUGUGCAAACACGAAAGUGGACGUAUACGGUGUGACGCCUGCCCGGUGCCGGAAGGUUAAUUGAUGGGGUCAGCGCAAGCGAAGCUCCUGAUCGAAGCCCCGGUAAACGGCGGCCGUAACUAUAACGGUCCUAAGGUAGCGAAAUUCCUUGUCGGGUAAGUUCCGACCUGCACGAAUGGCGUAAUGAUGGCCAGGCUGUCUCCACCCGAGACUCAGUGAAAUUGAACUCGCUGUGAAGAUGCAGUGUACCCGCGGCAAGACGGAAAGACCCCGUGAACCUUUACUAUAGCUUGACACUGAACAUUGAGCCUUGAUGUGUAGGAUAGGUGGGAGGCUUUGAAGUGUGGACGCCAGUCUGCAUGGAGCCGGCCUUGAAAUACCACCCUUUAAUGUUUGAUGUUCUAACGUGGACCCGUGAUCCGGGUUGCGGACAGUGUCUGGUGGGUAGUUUGACUGGGGCGGUCUCCUCCUAAAGAGUAACGGAGGAGCACGAAGGUUGGCUAAUCCUGGUCGGACAUCAGGAGGUUAGUGCAAUGGCAUAAGCCAGCUUGACUGCGAGCGUGACGGCGCGAGCAGGUGCGAAAGCAGGUCAUAGUGAUCCGGUGGUUCUGAAUGGAAGGGCCAUCGCUCAACGGAUAAAAGGUACUCCGGGGAUAACAGGCUGAUACCGCCCAAGAGUUCAUAUCGACGGCGGUGUUUGGCACCUCGAUGUCGGCUCAUCACAUCCUGGGGCUGAAGUAGGUCCCAAGGGUAUGGCUGUUCGCCAUUUAAAGUGGUACGCGAGCUGGGUUUAGAACGUCGUGAGACAGUUCGGUCCCUAUCUGCCGUGGGCGCUGGAGAACUGAGGGGGGCUGCUCCUAGUACGAGAGGACCGGAGUGGACGCAUCACUGGUGUUCGGGUUGUCAUGCCAAUGGCACUGCCCGGUAGCUAAAUGCGGAAGAGAUAAGUGCUGAAAGCAUCUAAGCACGAAACUUGCCCCGAGAUGAGUUCUCCCUGAGACUUAGAGUCUCCUGAAGGAACGUUGAAGACGACGACGUUGAUAGGCCGGGUGUGUAAGCGCAGCGAUGCGUUGAGCUAACCGGUACUAAUGAACCGUGAGGCUUAACCUU